CUUUUCCACUUAUAAAAGUUAACGUUAAGGUUCCUCAUGGUUAGAGACAAAUGCAAUCGCAUGGCAGGAUGCUGUAAAAGGACCAAUCUUCAGUCAGGAGAACAACUGAGAUAAUCCGUCCACAAUACGAGAAUGAAAACAGACUUCCACAAACGAACGUCAACUGAUGACUCCAUAAUUAUUCAGCCCUUCAAAGAAGUCAAAGGGAUCUUCCAGGAAUAGUGACACUAUUUUCUGGAGAAGUGAUUGGUCAGUACAUCGUGAUUUCAUACCUGCUGAUCUCUAAUCUGGAACCUAACCGGCACCAGCAGAGUAAAAGACACUAAACAGCUAAAUUGAAUCAAGCAUAAAAACAUUUUACGUAUCAAGACAAGUCAUAUGAUCUGUGAAUUUCCCUUUUUGUGAUUGGUCAGAUGCUGCCAACACCUCCCUUUCCUUGUGAAGGUGCAUGAGAAACCCUGGAUUAACUUUGCUAACCAGCGGUUAUCCUGAUCACGACUGUUAGUGGGUGAUUCUCAAGUCUGUUGGAGCCCAGGCAAAAAGGGACAAGGACACCUGACAGCCCAGUGUGCCCAGCAGAGCUGACAUGAGGGCUGUUUCAACUGAAUCACACACUCUGCUUGCCAGAGGUGAUCCAGGUGUUUUGUUUGUUUUUCUUUUUGUUCCUUCCCCCCUUUCUCAUCAUCUCUUCUCCCCUCUGUUUUUCUUUCUCUCCCUCUUUCUUUCAUUCUUUCCUUCUCCCUGUCCUUUCCCCCAGUCAUGUCUGUCCCGUCUGUAACAACUGAUAAUAAAAUAAAAUAAAUAAACAAUUAUAAUAAAGGUCAAUCAAAUGGACCAACAUGGCAUCUUUCUCGGCCUUCAAACAACAAUUCUGAUGGCUAAAGAUCCAAAUGGGACAGGCAAAAAAUAUAAAUGAUGAUAACCAUGUGCAGCUUCUCUCGUCU
ensembl:lncRNA